AAGAGAAUCGCGAGCAGAGCCCGUAACCGACGCCACUGCUACGGACAGGUGGUUUUCAAAUUGGUGCGUUCUUAUGGUUUUGCUUGGUUCUUGCACAGCAAGCAUAGCGGUCUUACGAA